rnacentral:rRNA from 1 species
AACGAACGCUGGCGGCAUGCCUAACACAUGCAAGUCGAACGAGACCUUCGGGUCUAGUGGCGCACGGGUGCGUAACGCGUGGGAACCUGCCCUUAGGUUCGGAAUAACUCCCCGAAAGGGGUGCUAAUACCGGAUAAUGUCUUCGGACCAACGAUUUAUCGCCUUUGGAUGGGCCCGCGUUGGAUUAGCUAGUUGGUAGGGUAAAAGCCUACCAAGGCGACGAUCCAUAGCUGGUCUGAGAGGAUGAUCAGCCACACUGGGACUGAGACACGGCCCAGACUCCUACGGGAAGCAGCAGUGGGGAAUAUUGGACAAUGGGCGAAAGCCUGAUCCAGCAAUGCCGCGUGAGUGAUGAAGGCCUUAGGGUUGUAAAGCUCUUUUACCCGGGAUGAUAAUGACAGUACCGGGAGAAUAAGCGCCGGCUAACUCCGUG